GUGGGGAAUUUUGGACAAUGGGCGAAAGCCUGAUCCAGCCAUGCCGCGUGCAGGAUGAAGGCCUUCGGGUUGUAAACUGCUUUUGUACGGAACGAAAAGACUCCUUCUAAUAAAGGGGGUCCAUGACGGUACCGUAAGAAUAAGCACCGGCUAACUACGUGCCAGCAGCCGCGGUAAUACGUAGGGUGCAAGCGUUAAUCGGAAUUACUGGGCGUAAAGCGUGCGCAGGCGGUUAUAUAAGACAGAUGUGAAAUCCCCGGGCUCAACCUGGGAACUGCAUUUGUGACUGUAUAGCUAGAGUACGGUAGAGGGGGAUGGAAGUCCGCGUGUAGCAGUGAAAUGCGUAGAUAUGCGGAGGAACACCGAUGGCGAAGGCAAUCCCCUGGACCUGUACUGACGCUCAUGCACGAAAGCGUGGGGAGCAAACAGGAUUAGAAACCCCGGUAGUCC
rnacentral:rRNA from 1 species